AUGAUCCCAUGGCUAAACGUCUUCUCCUUAUUAGUAGUCCUCCAAGGAGUUCAGUCUGAGAUCCAGUUGGUGGAGUCCGGAGGGGAUGUGAGGAGGCCUGGAGAGUCCCUCCGUCUCUCCUGCCAAGCCUCUGGAUUUGACUUCGGCAGCUACUACAUGGGCUGGGUCAGACAGGCUCCAGGGAAAGGCCUGGAAUGGGUGUCCAGCAUAGAUCCAGAGAUGCUUGACUCUACCACUUACUACUCAGACAAAGUCAAGGGACGCUUCACCGUCUCCAGGGACGAUUCCCGCAGCCAGCUGUAUCUGCAAAUGAGCAGCCUGAAGCCAGAGGACUCGGCUGUCUAUUAUUGUGCAAGACACACAGUGGGAGGAAGUGAGUCUGAAGCCUGGCAAAAACGGUCCCUUCCUCAGUUCAGCUCUCCAGGUUCAUUCAGUCACAGGAGUUCGAAUGUGCGUAUUGCGACUUAA